rnacentral:rRNA from 1 species
GCGUUGAAUUGAAGCCCGAGUAAACGGCGGCCGUAACUAUAACGGUCCUAAGGUAGCGAAAUUCCUUGUCGGUUAAAUACCGACCUGCAUGAAUGGCGUAACGAGAUGGGAGCUGUCUCAACCAGAGAUUCAGUGAAAUUGUAGUGGAGGUGAAAAUUCCUCCUACCCGCGGCAAGACGGAGAGACCCCGUGGACCUUUACUACAACU